GGGGAUUUAGCUCAGUUGGGAGAGCACCUGCCUUGCAAGCAGGGGGUCACGAGUUCGAAUCUCGUAAUCUCCA
rnacentral:tRNA from 1 species